AUUGAACGCUGGCGGCAGGCCUAACACAUGCAAGUCGAACGAGUGGCGGACGGGUGAGUAAUGUCUGGGAAACUGCCUGAUGGAGGGGGAUAACUACUGGAAACGGUAGCUAAUACCGCAUACCAUCAGCUGUGCCCAGAUGGGCUUAGCUAGUUGGUGGGGUAACGGCUCACCAAGGCGACGAUCCCUCGCUGGUCUGGGAGGAUGACCAGCCACCCUGGAACUGGGUCACGGUCCCGAAUCCUACGGGAGGCAGCAGUGGGGAAUAUUGCACAAUGGUCGCAAGCCUGAUGCAGCCAUGCCGCGUGUAUGAAGAAGGCCUUCGGGUUGUAAAGUACUUUCAGCGGGGAGGCGGGACCCGAAGAAGAAGCACCGGCUAACUCCGUGCCAGCAGCCGCGGUAAUAG
rnacentral:rRNA from 1 species